AGCGAACGCUGGCGGCAGGCCUAACACAUGCAAGUCGAACGAACUCUUCGGAGUUAGUGGCGGACGGGUGAGUAACACGUGGGAACGUGCCGUUUGGUUCGGAAUAACUCAUGUAAACUUGUGCUAAUAUCGAAUGUGCCCUUCGGGUGAAAGAUUUAUCGCCAUUAGAGCGGCCCGCGUCUUAUUAGCUAGUGGGUGAGGUAACGGCUCACCAAGGCGACGAUCAGUAGCUGGUCUGAGAGGAUGACCAGCCACACUGGGACUGAGACACGGCCCAGACUCCUACGGGAGGCAGCAGUGGGGAAUCUUGCGAAAUGGGCGAAAGCCUGAAGCAGCCAUGCCGCGUGAAUGAUGAAGGUCUUAGGAUUGUACAAUUCUUUCACCGGGGACGAUAAUGACGGUACCCGGAGAAGAAGCCCCGGCUAACUUCGUG
rnacentral:rRNA from 1 species